rnacentral:rRNA from 1 species
UUUGCACAAUGGGCGAAAGCCUGNUGCAGCAACGCCGCGUGCGCGAAGAAGGUCUUCGGAUCGUAAAGCGCUUUUCGGGGAGAUGAGGAAGGACAGUAUCCCCGGAAUAAGGCUCGGCUAACUACGUGCCAGCAGCCGCGGUAAAACGUAGGAGCCAAGCGUUAUCCGAAUUCACUGGGCGUAAAGCGCGUGCAGGCGGUCUGGUAAGUUGGAUGUGAAAUCUCCUGGCUCAACUGGGAGAGGCCGUUCAAUACUGUCAGACUAGAGGGCGACAGAGGGAGGUAGAAUUCCGGGUGUAGUGGUGAAAUGCGUAGAUAUCCGGAGGAAUACCAGAGGCGAAGGCGACCUCCUGGGUCGCACCUGACGCUCAGACGCGAAAGCUAGGGGAGCGAACGGGAUUAGAAACCCCGGUAGUCCUAGCCGUAAACGAUGUAGACUGGGUGUUGGCGGGGUAAAAGCCGUCAGUGCCGAAGCAAACGCGAUAAGUCUACCGCCUGGGGACUACGGCCGCAAGGUUAAAACUCAAAAAAAUUGACGGA